rnacentral:rRNA from 1 species
AAUAGAUACCCCGGUAGUCCACGCCGUAAACGAUGAGUGCUAAGUGUUAGGGGGUUUCCGCCCUUUAGUGCUGCAGCUAACGCAUUAAGCACUCCGCCUGGGGAGUACGGCCGCAAGGCUGAAACUCAAAGGAAUUGACGGGGGCCCGCACAAGCGGUGGAGCAUGUGGUUUAAUUCGAAGCAACGCGAAGAACCUUACCAGGUCUUGACAUCCUCUGCCAACCCUAGAGAUAGGGCGUUCCCCUUCGGGGGACAGAGUGACAGGUGGUGCAUGGUUGUCGUCAGCUCGUGUCGUGAGAUGUUGGGUUAAGUCCCGCAACGAGCGCAACCCUUGAUCUUAGUUGCCAGCAUUCAGUUGGGCACUCUAAGGUGACUGCCGGUGACAAACCGGAGGAAGGUGGGGAUGACGUCAAAUCAUCAUGCCCCUUAUGACCUGGGCUACACACGUGCUACAAUGGAUGGUACAAAGAGCUGCGAACCCGCGAGGGUAAGCCAAUCUCAUAAAGCCAUUCUCAGUUCGGA